CAUGCUGGUUCUUGAAGCUGCACUGCAUCCAGGUACCACAGCGUCCAGUCCAGGCCUUCCUUAGGACAAAGGACGCUGGCCAGAAUGCUUCUGGGAUCUAGCUUGCCACUAUGAACUGAGAGGAUGUGAGAAGAGACGUCUGGGACCAUUGCAACCAUUGCUGUUUUACAGAUGAUGGACCCCUCGCUGGCCUGGAUCUUGCCAAGUAGGCUCGCUGGUUGGCCCCCAGCCCCAGGAAUGCACCUGUCCUGGGAUCUCCAGCACCGGGACUGGAUCAUCUGGCUGGGCUUUGUAUUUCACUGCUCUUGCAGAGAAUCCAUUGUGAAGCACUGGAGGGCUUUGCCACCUCUCCAAGCAACAGCCUCAGCAGGAUUGGAGAGAGUGGGGCUUGUGUUUGGGAUUAGCUGCUGAAUGAAUUUCUGCUGACCA